AUUCACAAUGCAUUGUUUGUAAAUAAACCCGCAUGAAAAAACUAUAUAUGGCUGAACAUAAAUGGAAAGUUAUAUGGGGAAUAUGUGAUCAUAUAUAGCGGCAAAAUUAUAUA